rnacentral:tRNA from 1 species
UCCCGUUUAGCUCAGUUGGUAGAGCGCGUCACUAGUAUUUGCUAUGACGAGGUCAGUCGUUCGAGUCGGCUAAUGGGAA